rnacentral:rRNA from 1 species
AGGGUGUAAACGCUGCAGACUUGGUGUUGGAAGUCCUUUGGGGGCAUUCAGUGCCGGAGAGAAGUUGUUAAGUCUGCUACUUGGGGAGUACGUCCGCAAGGAUGAAACUUAAAGGAAUUGGCGGGGGAGCACCGCAACGGGAGGAGCGUGCGGUUUAAUUGGAUUCAACACCGUAAAACUCACCAGGGAAGACUGUUACAUGAAGGCCGAGAUGAAGACUCUGCUAGAUUUUUCAGAGAGGAGGUGCAUGGCGUCAGUGACU